GUUAAUAUGGCAGAGCUUGGUUAUGCAAAAGAUCUAAGCCCUUUAAACCGGGGUUCAAAUCCCCUUAUUAACU
rnacentral:tRNA from 1 species